AGUGGCGGACGGGUGAGUAACGCGUGAGAAUCUGCCUUGGGGUCGGGGACAACCACUGGAAACGGUGGCUAAUACCGGAUACGCCUUCGGGUAAAAGAUUUAUUGCCCUAAGAGGAGCUCGCGUCUGAUUAGCUAGUUGGUGAGGUAAGAGCUCACCAAGGCAGCGAUCAGUAGCUGGUCUGAGAGGACGAUCAGCCACACUGGGACUGAGACACGGCCCAGACUCCUACGGGAGGCAGCAGUGGGGAAUUUUCCGCAAUGGGCGAAAGCCUGACGGAGCAAGACCGCGUGAGGGAGGAAGGCUCUUGGGUUGUAAACCUCUUUUCUCAGGGAAGAAGCUCUGACGGUACCUGAGGAAUCAGCCUCGGCUAACUCCGUGCCAGCAGCCGCGGUAAUACGGAGGAGGCAAGCGUUAUCCGGAAUUAUUGGGCGUAAAGCGUCCGCAGGUGGCGAUUCAAGUCUGCUGUCAAAGCACGGGGCUUAACUCCGUAAAGGCAGUGGAAACUGAAUAGCUAGAGUGCCGUAGGGGUAGAGGGAACUCCCGGUGUAGCGGUGAAAUGCGUAGAGAUCGGGAAGAACAUCGGUGGCGAAAGCGCUCUACUGGACGGCAACUGACACUCAGGGACGAAAGCUAGGGGAGCGAAUGGGAUUAGAUACCCC
rnacentral:rRNA from 1 species